GACGAACCGUGCGAACGUUAUUCGGAAUCACUGGGCUUAAAGCGCGUGUAGGCGGAUUGGUGCGUCGGCGCCUGAAAUCCCCCGGCUCAACCGGGGAACGCGGCCCGAAACGACCAGUCUCGAGGGACGUAGGGGGAACUGGAACUUCCGGUGGAGCGGUGAAAUGCGUUGAGAUCGGAAGGAACGCCCGCGGCGAAAGCGAGUUCCUGGACGUCUGCUGACGCUGAGACGCGAAAGCCAGGGGAGCGAACGGG
rnacentral:rRNA from 1 species